CCUACGGGUGGCAGCAGUCGCGAAUCAUUCACAAUGGGGGAAACCCUGAUGGUGCGACGCCGCGUGGGGGACUGAAGGUCUUCGGAUUGUAAACCCCUGUCAUGUGGGAGCAAAUUAAAAAGAUAGUACCACAAGAGGAAGAGACGGCUAACUCUGUGCCAGCAGCCGCGGUAAUACAGAGGUCUCAAGCGUUGUUCGGAAUCACUGGGCGUAAAGCGUGCGUAGGCUGUUUCGUAAGUCGUGUGUGAAAGGCGCGGGCUCAACCCGCGGACGGCACAUGAUACUGCGAGACUAGAGUAAGGGAGGGGGAACCGGAAUUCUCGGUGUAGCAGUGAAAUGCGUAGAUAUCGAGAGGAACACUCGUGGCGAAGGCGGGUGCCUGGACAUUAACUGACGCUGAGGCACGAAGGCCAGGGGAGCGAAAGGGAUUAGAUACCCUUGUAGUC
rnacentral:rRNA from 1 species